CUCCCCCGGGCGCCCACGGAAACCAGCGCCGGCUCCACCCACCUUCCCCGCCGCCAUAAAAACUGGCCAGCGUCGCCGCGCCACACUGGCCCCUCUCCACCCCGAUGUGGAUGCCUCCCCACCAGCUCCCUCCCCAUCAACUCCCUGCUAGCCACCUCCCCGUGCCCCACUUCCCUCCCCGCACCGCCCCACCUCCCUCCCCACCUUCUCCAGCGCGGCGCGCCCCUACCCUUCUCACCUUCUCCGGCAGCGCCGCCCACAACCACCUCCGACAGCGUCCCACAAGAACCACCUCUCUACGCCGGUCGUCGCCCUCCUCUUUCUCAAGCGCCAUCCAGCCGGUCAUGGCGGGAUCCGGCCGCCCACGGUCGCCGACGCGGCCUUAGCCACCAGAUCCGGCUGCCCUCGGCCGCCGGUGUGGCCUUAGCCUCCCUCGGCCGAAUCCAUCGGCUGCCGAAUCCAGCGCCGGCAAGCGGAUGGGCCGCCACCCCUGCAACACCGUAGAGAGAUCCGGUGGGUUGCCUCCGCGCCCACUUCUCCUCCGCCUCCCUCUCGAGAAAACUCCUCUUCCCACGGAUCCAUCAGCCACCGAAUCCCGCGCCAACUGGCUGCUGCGGCCCCACGCCACCAGAUCCUGUCAAGGGGUUGCUCCGUCGGGCUUCUACCGACGAGAUGGCGGCAGGAGGUCACCUCCUCCGUGCAGUGCACACCGAUGCACAUGCAGUUCAUCAACAGAGCGCGCAAACCCCCCACACCGUUUCCAUGAACACGCUGUUGUCUGCCAUUCCAGGUUCACUGCCAUAGCAGUUUGGUGUGUGUGCCAAACAAGUCUUGCAAUUCCAUUACACUCUCCUCUGGUAGGAGCCUGCCCAGCCUCUGCUUCAUCCACUUGUAGUUAAAACUGAAUUGCCACAAAGCCAAGGAGGAGAGUGGUGUGGGAUCCAUUCUUUCCGCUCUGGCGAGGCCUCCAACGAGCGCCUCGCCACCAGAACAAACUCUCUCAAUGGCGAGGUCGCUAGGCAAAUGUUCAGUAUUGUGUGCGUAGUUCUGCUUGUUUGAAGAGCCAACGGUUUGUGUACUAUAAAGCAGUUUGUACGUGUGGUUCAGUUUAAGUGAUGUGAGCAUCUAGUUCAUUAUUACUAUCUUGCGGUUUAGAUGCACUUUUUUUUUGUUUUAGGUUGUGUUCUGUGAUUGCAUGGUUGUGUUUAUAUGUUUACUUCUUUUUAGAUGUUGUUCACUUGGUAAAAAAGAAAGCAAAAACAUCUCAAAAGAAGCUCACUUCUUGUUAGAUGUCGCUCACUCUUCUUAUUAUUAGAUGUAGUACACACCAUUUAUGUAGCAGCUCAUUACCCCUUUGUAUGAAGCGCAAUUUGUUUCGUGUGUCUCAAAA